rnacentral:tRNA from 2 species
GCCUCCGUAGCUCAGUGGAUAGAGCGACAUCCUUCUAAGUUGGCGGUCGCCGGUUCGAAUCCGGCCGGAGGCA